UGCCUGCAAAACAGACCAAAAUAGCCACCACUAUGUGAGCUCUGGGAUCACCAGCCAGUGCUUAGAAAUCAUUCUCCCAGGGUGAGAAGUGUUGUGUGCAUGUGCAUGUUGCUACUUUCAACCUGCCCCAACAAACAGUGCCAGAGUGUCUGUCCAACACUCAAAAGCGCAGCAAACCAUCCCACCAGGCAUCACUGCCCAGUAACGCCACAGAUCCCUCCUGAAGGGUGAAGAGAAAUGGCACCAGACCAUCCUGGACACUGCCACCACUGGUGACAGUCAGCCAGCCACCCAACAGGGAGCCCUUCCUUUACAGCACGCACAGCAGGCCAGCUGGGCUCUAGCACCACGUGUCCCUAGAGCCCUGCUGUGUUGCACCCUGAGCUGGCUGUGCUCCCAGCCCCACAGCCCCAGCACCCCAGCACUUUGCAGCCAAGGGUGUUGCAAUGGCAAAAAUGCAAUUGCAUUGUUGCCGGGAAGGUCGCUGAGAUUUAAUUGUGUAUAAACUGAAUGACGAGUUUAGAGUUGCUGGAACCCACUGUUGCCUUGUGCAUUCUACAGAUGCUGUUUCUACAUUAUAGUCUCGAGCUGGCUGGAUUUUGUUUGGACAGGUUUGUAACCUCUUUAGUCAUCUCCUCAAUAACAAAAGAGAGCUUUAGAAAUGUGGGAAACAUGAGGCCCCUAUACGAAAGGGCCUGAUUUCUGAGCAACAAGUCAGCUGCCCUUACAUUCCUGCCAAAUGUCCUUCUCAUUAGGCAACAGAAUCAGCCACAUUCACGUAAUGCAGAUUUAACUGCUUGCGUUAAUGAGGCCACCUGCAAGAGGAGAAACAGAGGGGGAGCUACAUGAGUCAGAGGGAGGCCUCAGAAGCUGGAAGCCCCGGCCAGGUGCCCGAACCUGAAAGUUUUGGGGUUGGGGUUUUCCCCCUCAGCCUCUGCAGAGUCCAGCCUGGACUGGAGGUCCUAGCACAGGUGCUGCAAGAGGCGGUGUCCCAGCAUCACCAAGAGGGAAUGCAGGAGCUGUGGAUGUUUUUGUCCUCAACACAUGGGAUUGCCCUGGUACUUUCCUCCUUUGAUAAAAGCAGAGCCAACCCAGGGUGGUUUGCACACCCACCCAGCUGGGGACGGGAGACAUAGCAGCUCAGCCAAGCCCAACAGACUGAUAGCAGCAUGGAGGGAAAACUGCAUUUCUGAAAGUUGCUGCACCGAUCGUGGCAGUAGGAGAAGGGGAUGCUGGAGUGAAGCUAGCCAGGCUUUGUGUCACUGCUAUUAGUCAGGGUGUCUAAGUAGAGACAAGCUUCUGCAGGAAAUCUAUUUUAAAGACAAUGCUUCGAAUGGAGUCACAAGAAAAAAAGAAAAGUUGAAAAGUAAGAUUGCAGAGAGCUCAUCCUCUGCUGCGACAUCCUGCUGUCCUGAUAAAUGGAGCUCAAAGUGACCAUUUUGUUCAUUUUCCCUCUGCUAUUGCUCAUGUAAACAAACGUCUGACAUCAACUCUGAACGUGCUCACAUGGAAAUAUGCAGAAAAGGUGAUUUUGCAUGGUGGGGGAACUGGAUAAAAUAAAGGAAGACAGGGAAGUAUUUGUAAGAUGUUC
rnacentral:lncRNA from 1 species